AGUAGGUCACGUGUGCGCUGAUAGCGAUAUGAUAUGCUGAAGUGAACUAACCCUGGAACAUAACCUGCUCCGGAGCAGGUUAUCUUCAGAGAGCAAGUUACUAUGGUUACUUACAUACCCUGAAAGUAACCUCCGAUUUUGGAACCGAAAGUUGAGGUUAUCUGCUCACUUAUCCUCAAACAUACCUGGGUAUGUCACAUAACCUGCUUUCUGGAACACACCCCUUUUUCAUUCAGUCAUGCCCUGUCUAUUUUAGCCCUGUGCUUUCUCACUUCGUUGUCCAGUCUCGUCUAUGAAAUAUGUAGUUGUUUUUCUCCUGUGAUCUCCUGAGUUUACAGUUUGUGGGUUUAUAAUAAAUAUUGUUUUUCUUCUCCAUCUCCUUCAUCAUGUGCUUUACUGCAGCUAUACGUGACAAACCUACGAGCAAGUAAUAAUUAACUCACAUUAUGGUACUGUAAAACAAGUCAAUGUAAACGUGAUCUUGAUUGCCACAAAGUGCACUCCACCCCAGACUAUUGCCACUCUGUCACGGACUUCAUCUCCCAUAAUCCAUUGCCCAGGUUCAUCACCAUGAUUGUUACCAGCGGUUACUCAUUAGCCUCAUUACCUCUGCCUGUAUAUAGCAUGGUUUCUCAGUCACUCUUCAGUAAGUCUUGCUUGUGUUAGGUAUUGCGUCUCUGAGCCACUGUGUCUUGGGAUUCCCGUGUCUUGGUUACUCUGCUCAUUGUGUCUGGAUUACUCUGCUCAUUGUGUCUGGAUUACUCUGCUCAUUGUGUCUGGAUUACUCUGCUCAUUGUGUCUGGAUUACUCUGCUCAUUGUGUCUGGAUUACUCUGCUCAUUGUGUCUGGAUUACUCUGCUCAUUGUGUCUGGAUUACUCUUGUUUUGCUGACGUAUGCUCUUUGCCUGUUUUUGGACCUUGUUUGUGGAUAACACUUCAAUAAAUACUGCAUUUGGAUCCUCAGCCUUCGUGUCUCGGAGCAGUUCAUAACGGCAGUUCACAUUAUGGUACUGUAAAACAAAUCGCUGUAAAUGUUACCUUAAGUCCAUAAAUCAUUUUCACAGAAUUUAAAGUAUUCUAAAAUGUAAUUAUGUCAUUGAAUUUACCUUCACAAGUUUUGUUGAAUAUUUUUAUUAAAAGGUUAUAAACUGUUUGGUGUGUUUUACACACACAGCCUGUCAUCCUAAGUAUAAUCUGUAUAACUUGGUUAUAUAUUAAUAGCAAGGAAAUAAUUAAAUUGAUUUUGUUCUUUAUGCAUUAAUCCAUGCACUGUUGAUACAGGAUGUUGAUGCAUGUGUGGUGAAAUAAUAUUUUAACAACAAAGUUAAACUCCAGCAACAUUUGUGGCAUGAUAUCAGCCACCACAGAAAUAAUCAACUCAUUCUUUAAAGCAAACAUUAAAUCAUGCUCUAUUUCAGUAGUAAUGUCACAAGGCUUCAACAUUAUAUAUGUUAGCAUACCUCCGUGAAGUUGGCCCCCCACCCAUCACAAAACGUCGCAAAAAUAGUCUCAGUCGUUUGUGCUCCGUUUGUGCUGGUUUGUGCUGUAAAAUUUUUCGUUUGUGCUGCUUUGGUUUGUUAGAUAUAAAAUAUUUAUUUAAAGGUCAUUCUCAGGUCACUCAGCCCCCCCGCAUGCUCCAAAUUCACCCCGAAUAGUCUCGUUUGUUUGUGCUUCGUUUGUGCUGGUUUGUGCCGGUAAAAGUUUCGUUUGUGCUGCUUUGGUUUUUUAAUUAUUAGACAUUGAAUUAUAGGCGAUGACGUCACCAGCCCCCCACAUGCUCCAAAAUCACCAAAAAUAGUCUCAAUCGUUAGUGCUUCGUUUGUGCUGGUUUGUGCCGUAACAAUUUUCGUUUGUGCUGCUUCAGUUUUUAAAACAUUAGACAUUGAAUUUUACGGUCGAUGACGUCACCAGCCCCCCACACGCUCCAAAUUCUCCCAAAAUACUCCUGUUUGUUUGUGCUCCGUUUGUGCUGGUUUGUGCCGUAAAAAAAUCGUUUGUGCUGCUUUGGUUUUUUUAGAUAUUAAAAUAAUAUUUAAAGGUCAUUCUCAGGUCACUCAGCCCCCCGCAUGCUCCAAAUUCACCCCGAAUAGUCUCGUUUGUUUGUGCUUCGUUUGUGCUGGUUUGUGCCGGUAAAAGUUUCGUUUGUGCUGCUUUGGUUUUUUAAUUAUUAGACAUGACAUUAUAGGCGAUGACGUCACCAGCCCCCCACACGCUCCAAAAUCACCAAAAAUAGUCUCAAUCGUUAGUGCUUCGUUAGUGCUGGUUUGUGCAUGUAGAAGUUUCGUUUGUGCUGCUUUUUAUUUUGCUUUUUUGUUUUUUUCAACAAUACAGUUGAAGUAACAAGGUCAAAAGGAUCCUAGUUAAUAUUCCAACUUAUAACAGACACAGGCAGGAUAACAGGAUGUGUGGAAUGUAACACCAACUCCAAGGUAAAUGUUUUUAUUUGUUACUGUAUGUCAUUAUGUGAAUAAAAGUAGUAUGUCAUAAAUACACGCACCAUAACAUGUUUGCUGCAUCUCUGUGCUUAUACAUACACAAGCUAUGUGUGUGUGUGUGUGUAUUAUAUGCAUGUAUGGAAACUCAUGACUCAAUUAAGUAAAAAUUAUUUUACUUGUGAAACUGAAUUAAAGUGUACUAUCGAACAUCCAUUAGCACAAAUAAUGGACCUUUAAAAACUUAAACUUAAAAACACUUAAUACUGACAAGCCAUGGCACACUGUCAUGCCUUCAAGGCAAAAGUGCCACACAGAAUAAUAGAUUUAAGUGCAAACUCCAUCAAGCCUGACUUCCAGAAGAGCAGAAACAACUUCUCCAAACAGGAGUAGGAAAACAAAGGUCGUCAUACAUCUCCCAAACACAUGGAGACCUCCUGCAGUAGGCCACAUAAUGUCCAAGAGCAUCCUGGGUUAAGCCUCCUUUGAAAGCAAUGACUGCCCUUAAAGUAAAUCUCUCUCCUUGGAGCAUCAGAUUUGAGGAAACUCACUCAAAGGAAAUUCUAUGGAGUUGCUUCCCAGAGGGACACUGUGAU